GAUGGAUUAUGAUAUGAUUUUCAGAUAGCAUUUGAGGGAGUCCUCCCAACCAACAAGCGUUGCAACCAACGUUGGCAAAAUGACUCGUGGAAACCAAAGGGAGUUGGCCAAGGCGAAAAAGGUGAAGGACAACACUGCCAAGUCUAAAGCAAGUGCAAAUGAGGGUCUCAACCGAGAACAAAUCAAAGAAAGGGAUGCUGCUCGUAUGCGGGAGAAACAGGAAAAGAAUGCUGAGAAAAAAGGCAAAGGAGACUCCUCUAAAUAGCAUUAUGCCCUCUUGCAAUACAGUAACUUGAAAUCCUGGUGAGCGGACACCUGAAAACUCUAGAAACACCUUCAAACCUUUGGUGUGCAGUGAAAGGUUCAGAGCAAAUGAUGUACAUUUCGUUUUGAUGAAUGACUAGAAUAAUUAAUCUCUACUGUUAGAAAUAUAUUUUAUACUUCGAAUGUUUUGCGAUGGAUUAUUGUUUUUCGAAAUUGUAAAGUUUGACCAUGU